rnacentral:rRNA from 1 species
GUGGGGAAUAUUCCGCAAUGGACGAAAGUCUGACGGAGCAACGCCGCGUGAGUGAUGAAGGUUUUCGGACUGUAAAGCUCUGUUGUUUGGGACGAAAGUGCCUGUUGCGAACAGUUACGGGUAUUGACGGUACUAAACGAGGAAGCCACGGCUAACUACGUGCCAGCAGCCGCGGUAAUACGUAGGUGGCAAGCGUUGUCCGGAAUUAUUGGGCGUAAAGAGCAUGUAGGCGGAGAUUUAAGUCUGUUGUGAAAAUGCGGGGCUCAACCCCGUAUUGCGAUGGAAACUGAAUUUCUUGAGUGCAGGAGAGGAAAGGGGAAUUCCCAGUGUAGCGGUGAAAUGCGUAGAUAUUGGGAGGAACACCAGUGGCGAAGGCGCCUUUCUGGACUGUGUCUGACGCUGAGAUGCGAAAGCCAGGGUAGCGAACGGGAUUAGAUACCCUGGUAGUCC